ACGCUCGACACCUACGGAAGGCAGCAGUGGGGAAUAUUGUACAAUGGGGGAAACCCUGAUGCAGCGACGCCGCGUGAGCGAAGAAGUAUUUCGGUAUGUAAAGCUCUAUCAGCAGGGAAGAAACUGACGGUACCUGACUAAGAAGCACCGGCUAAAUACGUGCCAGCACGCCGACGGUAAUCUGAGGCGGGCGUGGACGAAGGC
rnacentral:rRNA from 1 species